GGAGGGUCAAGGGUAGACUGCAAGGGGCAUUAGAAACCUUCUGCCAGAAUCCAGGUGGGAGCAGUGAGAUCAGAACAGGUCGUGUAGGGAAACAGUGU